GACAAGAAAUAACAAUACGGGGCUUAAAGUCUUGUAAUCGGAAUGAUGGGAAUUUAAACCUCUUCCAGAGUAUCAAUUGGAGGGCAAGUCUGGUGCCAGCAGCCGCGGUAAUUCCAGCUCCAAUAGCGUAUAUUAAAAUUGUUGCAGUUAAAAAGCUCGUAGUUGAAUUUCUGCUGCAUUGCUUGUGUCCCUCUGGGGUCUGUGCAUGUGGCUUUUUUCGGACGGAGUUUCUUUGUCUGAAUGUUUACUUUGAGAAAAUUAGAGUGCUCAAAGCAGGCUUUCGCCUUGAAUAGUUUAGCAUGGAAUAAUAAAGUAGGACUUUGGUUCUAUUUUGUUGGUUUUAGGUACCAAAGUAAUGGUUAAUAGGAACAGUUGGGGGCAUUCGUAUUUAACUGUCAGAGGUGAAAUUCUUAG
rnacentral:rRNA from 1 species